AUGUGCUGCCAAAAUCGAUCUUGUUUGCCGACGAUAAGCUUGUUCGGUCCUUUCAAACCUCUGAAAGAUUUCACAAUAGGGGUGAAAGAGAUAUUUCUUUGGCUGUGCUGCUUGGCUGCCGAUUCAACUGUGUGUCUGACAUUUGUUUGCUGUGCUGUUUGGCUGUUGAUAUAUUUGUUUGUGCUGCCAAAAUCGAUCUUAUUUAUCGUCGACAGCUUUUUUGGGGGUUCACUGGAACCUCUGAAAGAUGGGUUCAGAAAGUGGAUAUUUUUUGCUGGAUAUUUGUUUGCUGUGCUGGCUGGCCCUUAA
rnacentral:rRNA from 1 species